rnacentral:rRNA from 1 species
GACGAACGCUGGCGGCGUGCCUAAUACAUGCAAGUCGAGCGGAAGUUGAAGAGCUUGCUCUUCAACUUUAGCGGCGGACGGGUGAGUAACACGUGGGCAACCUGCCCUGCAGAUCGGGAUAACUCCGGGAAACCGGUGCGAAUACCGAAUAGUUUUCGCCACCUCCUGGUGGCGUACGGAAAGACGGUUUAGGCUGUCACUGCAGGCUCGGCCCGCGGCGGAUUAGCUAGUUGGUGGGGUAACGGCCCACCAAGGCAACGAUGCGUAGCCGACCUAAGAGGGUGAUCGGCCACACUGGGACUGAGACACGGCCCAGACUCCUACGGGAGGCAGCAGUAGGGAAUCUUCCGCAAUGGACGAAAGUCUGACGGAGCAACGCCGCGUGAGUGACGAAGGUUUUCGGAUCGUAAAACUCUGUUGUGAGGGAAGAACAAGUACCACUUAACUACUGGUACCUUGACGGUACCUCACCAGAAAGCCACGGCUAACUACGUGCCAGCCGCCGCCGUAAAAC